rnacentral:rRNA from 1 species
GACGAACGCUGGCGGCGUGCUUAACACAUGCAAGUCGAGCGGUAAGGCCCUUUCGGGGUACACGAGCGGCGAACGGGUGAGUAACACGUGGGUGACCUGCCCUCAGCUCUGGGAUAAGCCUGGGAAACCGGGUCUAAUACUGGAUAUGACUCCAUGACGCAUGUUGUGGGGUGGAAAGCCUUGUGCGGCUGAGGAUGGGCCCGCGGCCUAUCAGCUUGUUGGUGGGGUGAUGGCCUACCAAGGCGACGACGGGUAGCCGGCCUGAGAGGGCGACCGGCCACACUGGGACUGAGACACGGCCCAGACUCCUACGGGAGGCAGCAGUGGGGAAUCUUGCGCAAUGGGCGAAAGCCUGACGCAGCGACGCCGCGUGAGGGAUGACGGCCUCGGUGUAAC